UACAGAGGGUGCGAGCGUUAAUCGGAGUUACUGGGCGUAAAGGGCGCGUAGGCGGUUACUUAAGAUAGAUGUGAAAUCCCUGGGCUUAACCUAGGAACUGCGUCUGUGACUGAGUGACUGGAGUACUGUAGAGGGUAGUGGAAUUUCCGGUGUAGCGGUGAAAUGCGUAGAGAUCGGAAGGAACACCAGUGGCGAAGGCGGCUACCUGGACAGAUACUGACGCUGAGGCGCGAAAGCGUGGGGAGCAAACAGG
rnacentral:misc_RNA from 1 species